UUUGAUCCUUUAAUCACUUUAGGUUCACCUUGAUUUCGAAGGUCUUGUAGGUGUAUUCCUGGAUGACUUUCAGAUUCUUAAUAAUGAACUCCUUGAUGGCCUGCACGUAAUCGGCGGCGGCCAGGAUGAGCUUCUUAAAGGCAUCGAUCACCUUGCCCUCGCCCUCCAGACGACCCUUGAACUUCUCCUCCGACACCUGGGCAAUGAAUCCCCGCAGUCCCAGUGCAUUGGCCUGGACCAGUGCAAACAGCUCGAAAGCAUCCUUGGGCACCCUGCCACGCACCUCAAAGUCACAGCACAAGAUCUCCUCCUUUUGGCCUGCCAUCUCGAGUAAGAUUGAAUUUGCC
ensembl:ncRNA asRNA:CR45538 antisense RNA:CR45538